rnacentral:lncRNA from 1 species
AGAGAGUAUUAUUUGUCUUUUUCAACAUGCGAUUAGAUUACAAAUAGAGAAGACACAAGUAAAGAUUAAUGCUCACAUAUGAAGCUGUAGAAUGUCUGCAGCAAGUGCAUGAUUCCAACUUUAUGAUACCAUAUCAUCCUACUACAGCUCCAUUUAAAGAUUUGUAAGGACAAGUCAUUUCCUAAAAACUUAGGUCGGAACAAAUGGAUGCGAUGAAAUUGCUAAUUGAUUCGAUUUGUCAACUUCUUUACACUUAAUAGAUAUUGAAUUUCACUGCUAGAUCUUGGAAUCACCUUCUUAUUAGCAGCACAAAGACAUUAUUUAUUCUUAACGACUUAAUACUAUGUAAGAUGGGCAAUAGCCAAAGAAGUACACAAAGACCAUAUGAAUUCUGAAUCACCUUUAUGGUCUUAUUGUGCCCUUAUAAUUAAGGGCUUUUACAAAAUAAGUAGGAGUAGUAUGUAUCUUAAACAGACUUAUAAGAAAUACUAUAGAAAGUACGUACAAUACUAUGUAUGUCUCCUGAUUCACAGUCAAAAUUUAUCUGGAAUUAAUAAAAGCAGUUUCAGUUGGGACAAAUAGAGUCAGGGAUUAAUUCUUGCCACCACCCCCUCUUUUACCCCUUGGGUCAUGUUUAGUAUUUGCGCCAGCAUCAUCAUAGUCUAACACUACAUCAUGACUUAAAAGCUUCCUUGAGUUUAUUCCGACUCCAUCCUUGACAAAACAUGCAGCAAUAAUUAGCAAAAUUUCUUCACUUGAAUCUAAUAAACUCAUGUAAUGACAAACUUAAUUGAAAGAAAACAUGCAUGUUCUCCCUUUCUUUAUAGCUUGCAUUGCAUUCAUCUACUGAUGAUUCUAUCUAUCUUCUUGUUUAGAACUUUAUUCAAAAUUAAAUAUACGCUAAUUAAUGCAUGCAUCAAGUUACCUCAUGGAGUGAGUACAUGGAGCUCUCGCCGGUGCCUAGAGAAGAAAUUAAGUAGAACAGUUAUAAGUACUCUCUACAUGAUUAAGCUCGUAAAAGACGUGAAAAUGCAUGAGGACAGGAUUGCUUACCUGAAGAUAAGUAAAUGAAGAGUACAAGGAAAACUAAAAGAGAGAUUUUGAUUCUAGGAACCAUGGCUUGUUAGUUGUUUCUUUCGAUAUAUAGUUGAAGCUAUAUAUGUUUUUAUGAUGAGAGGGAGAAAAAGGGCGGGGAGGGAGCUGCUUUUAUCUUACUCAGGCAGGGAGGGGGUGUAGAGAAAUUAAAGUGGGCUGUUG